CUUUGAUGUGGGUUUUGGAAGAAUUUGGAGGCAGCAGCUCUGGACUGCAAAAGGAGGCUUGCUUACAGAACCAACGGUCUCUUGAUGGACACCUUUGAGUGGGACAUAUACAUAUAUAUGUGUCCCAAAUUCAAGGAGCAAAUUCUGCAGGGAUUUCUACAGCGAGCAAAAACCUACUGUGUGGUUCUGGGCCAAGAUCAAUGGUUGCAUUGCUGCUGCUGAGACUCUGCAGAGAUUCCCUGCUGAAGGAGUCUUCUUUGGGACUUAUCUCUUGGCUCAGUCUACCAUGAGAGGCAUCGAAGGUAUAAAACUGGUGGGUGGUCAUGAGGAGGAAACAGCAAGAAGUUUGGAGGACAAGAUUAAGAUAAACAUGCUGGAGUAACAGUCUACAAAAAGUUGGGAGAAAUUUACUAAGGGCUUUUGCAGUGUGCUACCCUUUGGAAUAAUUAGCUGCACAAUCACAAGGGGAAGGAACUCUUGCUUAGAAAAUACUGAAGAAAAGCUUAUGGUAAUGGUAUUGGAUACUACACUAAAUGUGAACCCACACUGUUCUGCUAUUCAAAAAUAAUUUAUAAAUAGCAUUACAUUGUUAUGUAUAAUAGGACAUUGGCAGAACUUAUAUAUCGUGUUUGGGCCACUGAAUUUAAAGAAAAAUGGGAUAAACAGCAGAAUCAAAAAGGUAAGAAAAGCAGAGGAAAAAAGAGCACUUACAAGCCUACUGAGAGCAGGAGAAGAGGAAAGUUUAUUUGCAUUGAGAGAGAUUCAGGCUAGAGGUUAGGAAAUUACUUUCCUGAAAGUGAGUGAGGUAGGUAACCUCAUCUAAUGCCUGGGGAAUGUUGUGGAGAUCUCUGCUGCUGGAAGCCUCUGUGAGCGAAGCUAUGUGGAUGUCUCUAGCAGAAGUGAUUGGUCUUACCAGGGAUUAUAUGACCUGUUGAGACCUUCUUAAUGUGUUGUCUUGAUUUCUGGAAAGUUUUAUUUGAAGGAAAAAUAACCCAAACAACCCAGAGCAAGAAAAUCUAUCUAUGAUUCAACCAAAAUUUUUAUAGAGCAGUGUUCCUCAGUAAUAUGUAAUGUCGCCUUUUAAUAUGAGAUUGCUUCUGGGAUUUCUUACUCAUCUGUUUACCAAUUACUAUCAUUAUUCUGAUAUUUUUUUCCUAGUGGAAAGCAGAACAAAAACUACCGUACAUUAUGAGCUUUCUUAAGGGAAAUGUCAAAAGUGUCAUUCAUUUGGGAAAUUUAAAUGCCGAGUCCUUUCCUUGGACUUCU